AGUGAACGCUGGCGGUAGGCCUAACACAUGCAAGUCGAACGGCAGCACAGGAGAGCUUGCUCUCUGGGUGGCGAGUGGCGGACGGGUGAGGAAUACAUCGGAAUCUACCUUUUCGUGGGGGAUAACGUAGGGAAACUUACGCUAAUACCGCAUACGACCUACGGGUGAAAGUGGGGGACCGCAAGGCCUCACGCGAUUAGAUGAGCCGAUGUCCGAUUAGCUAGUUGGCGGGGUAAUGGCCCACCAAGGCGACGAUCGGUAGCUGGUCUGAGAGGAUGAUCAGCCACACUGGAACUGAGACACGGUCCAGACUCCUACGGGAGGCAGCAGUGGGGAAUAUUGGACAAUGGGCGCAAGCCUGAUCCAGCCAUACCGCGUGGGUGAAGAAGGCCUUCGGGUUGUAAAGCCCUUUUGUUGGGAAAGAAAUCCUGUCGAUUAAUACGCGGUGGGGAUGACGGUACCCAAAGAAUAAGCACCGGCUAACUUCGUG
rnacentral:rRNA from 1 species